rnacentral:rRNA from 1 species
GACGAACGCUGGCGGCGUGCUUAACACAUGCAAGUCGAACGGAAAGGCCCUGCUUUUGUGGGGUGCUCGAGUGGCGAACGGGUGAGUAACACGUGAGUAACCUGCCCUUGACUUUGGGAUAACUUCAGGAAACUGGGGCUAAUACCGGAUAGGAGCUCCUGCUGCAUGGUGGGGGUUGGAAAGUUUCGGCGGUUGGGGAUGGACUCGCGGCUUAUCAGCUUGUUGGUGGGGUAGUGGCUUACCAAGGCUUUGACGGGUAGCCGGCCUGAGAGGGUGACCGGCCACAUUGGGACUGAGAUACGGCCCAGACUCCUACGGGAGGCAGCAGUGGGGAAUAGUGCACAAUGGGCGGGAGCCUGAUGCAGCAACGCCGCGUGCGGGAUGACGGCCUUCGGGGUGUAAACCGCUUUCGCCUGUGACGAAGCGUGAGUGACGGUAAUGGGUAAAGAAGCACCGGCUAACUACGUG